UUACGCCCAUAUCACGUUGAAACACCGGUUCGCGUACGAUCACCGAAGUUAAGCAACCUCGAGCCUGGUCAGCAGAUGGGUGACCACUUGGAAAUACCAGGUGCUGUCAG